CAGCAAAACCUUUCUUCAGGAAGGGAGAAAUUUGAAGCACAGCUGCAAAACCUAACCCUUUCCACAGGGACUCCCCUCCUCUCCCACAGAAAGGACUCUUUGUCAGUAGGUCUCUUGACCUGGGGACAUAGCGAACCUGUCCUGCAGUUGGUGUGGCAGAAAUAUCCCCUCUCAGCCUGCCAAGUGUCACUCAGCAUGGUGACAGAGACACUCUCUUCAGUUAUUAAUUUUCUGCUGGAGCUUGAAGUCUCUUCUUUGUGAGACUGGGUUUUGCCGUUUGUGUCAGCGAGAUGUUUAAAAUCACGCUUGCUCAAAUUUUUGCUGCUAAAAAGGGGACUAUUUUGUAUGGUCUCUCGCCAGUGUUCUUACAGUGAGGUCUGCCAACAAAUCCUGAUGCCUCCUGUGUCUGUCCUGUGGCAGUUUGCACCUGCAGGUUGCAGCAGUCAUAAUACACACUGAAAUAAUUCCCAUGGUGAUGAAAAUGGUAGAAACAUUGCAGUGCAGUUCCCUGUAUGAAAUAAAGUAUUUUCUUUUUAUGCCAAUAUUGAAAAGCAAUAGGAUUGAAACCAAAAGUAGAAAUUAAUGAGCAAAAUGCAGUGAGAGACUAGUUUGAAUGUAUUUUUCAUGUGGAAGGAGCAAGUAUGUUAUCUAAAAUAGGUCCCGACUGAUACUGAGCUUUUAAAAGGUAGUCUUAUAUUUAAUUCUUAGAUGCAAAGAGGUCUUAACUGUUGCCUGAAAAGGUAAUGCCUUGCCUCUGGAAUAUUAACAUGUCAAGAUAAUCUCUCCUGUGGAACAUCAUCCUGUGAAAAUCUAGCAAACGGCCUCCCAAAAAGUGGCUUACUUCCCAGAAACCAUUCAUAAUGGAUAUAAAACACUUCCAUGUUGAAGGGAUCCUGCUAAAAUCUAGCAAAUGGCACAAAGAGAGUGGCAUACUUCCAAGAACACCAAACUAUUCAUGAUGGGUUUAAAAUAUUUACAUGUUGAAAGGCUUCAGUUAAUGUUUUAUAAGCAUUGACUAUUCAGUUGUAUAAUGAAAAUCAAGUUUAAAAGAAAGCUAGCCGCAUACUUUGUUGUAUAAACAUGGUCUUGUUAUUAAAAAUGUGCCACGUCUAUUGACAGCAGAUUUCCCCAUUGUCAGUUAAAUUUAGUAGUGCUCUGUUGAACAGAAGUAACUCUGGAGGAAUUGGGCGCUCUUAACUGUCUAAAAAGCUGACAGUCAUUGUAAGCAGUCUGGUUUUGGAAGAAAAAGCAACGCAAGUUAUGUACACUCUUUGAGGGCGUAUGCUUAGGGAAAGGUAUGAAUGCAAUCUUGUUAUGUUUAGGUUUAAACUGUUUUUUCACACAUCAUUCUUGAACUGAAUUGUCAUGUCCCUAAAAUCCAAAAUGUGUUCUAAUGCAAUAACAUCAAAGCUUUCAAUGUAAAAA